UAGGGAAUCUUCCACAAUGAGCGCAAGCCUGAUGGAGCAACACCGCGUGAGUGAAGAAGGGUUUCGGCUCGUAAAGCUCUGUUGUUAAAGAAGAACACGUAUGAGAGUAACUGUUCAUACGUUGACGGUAUUUAACCAGAAAGUCACGGCUAACUACGUGCCCG
rnacentral:rRNA from 1 species